rnacentral:rRNA from 1 species
CCUACGGGGCGCACCAGUGGGGAAUAUUGGACAAUGGGCGAAAGCCUGAUCCAGCAAUGCCGCGUGUGUGAAGAAGGUCUUCGGGUUGUAAAGCACUUUCAGUAGGGAGGAAGGUAGUGUAGUUAACACCUGCAUUAUUUGACGUUGCCUACAGAAGAAGCACCGGCUAACUCCGUGCCAGCAGCCGCGGUAAUACGGAGGGUGCGAGCGUUAAUCGGAAUUACUGGGCGUAAAGCGCAUGCAGGCGGCCUGUUAAGUCAGAUGUGAAAGCCCGGGGCUUAACCUCGGAAUUGCAUUUGAAACUGGCAGGCUAGAGUCUUGUAGAGGGGGGUAGAAUUUCAGGUGUAGCGGUGAAAUGCGUAGAGAUCUGAAGGAAUACCAGUGGCGAAGGCGGCCCCCUGGACAAAGACUGACGCUCAGAUGCGAAAGCGUGGGGAGCAAACAGGAUUAGAUACCCGAGUAGUC